UACGUAGGGUGCGAGCGUUGCCCGGAUUUAUUGGGCGUAAAGAGCGUGUAGGCGGCCAGGUAGGUCAGCUGUGAAAACUCGAGGCUCAACCUCGAGACGCCGGUUGAAACCAUCUGGCUAGAGUCCGGAAGAGGAGAGUGGAAUUCCUGGAUGUAGCGGUGAAAUGCGCAGAUAUCAGGAAGAACACCCGUGGCUAAGGCGGCUCUCUAGUACGGUACUGACGCUGAGACGCGAAAGCGUGGGGAGCGAACAGG
rnacentral:rRNA from 1 species